rnacentral:lncRNA from 1 species
GUUUGAGCUUUUCCUACAAACCCUUUGAUCAAGUUUUCUCUGCAAACCUCCAUUCCAAUUCCUGAUUGAACUCUAUUCAAUCUGGAACUUUCUUCCCAUCAGAUCCACCCAAAAUGUCGCAGUUGUUGCUGCAGUAGACAGAACCACCGCAUCCCCGUGGUGGAUGGAGACGAAUACCGUUAUAGUGUGAAUGAAGAAGAGUCACAUUUCAGAUUUUACUCAUCCAAUCAGAACCAUCAGGUGCGCCCUUCAUUCCUUGCGGUAGAUCCCUAACCAGGAAGAUAUAGCAGGGGAAAGAAAGUCCUAAUCUUGCACAUGCCAGUGGAAUAUCCAUGAUUUCAAUUCUUUCAAGUUGUAGAAAUACAUGGUAUCAUAAACAACGAAUGGAUUUCUUUUUUACAUCGUCAAACAUGAAAUUUUUAAACUAAAUUCCUUGCUUCCAAAUCCCUGUACCGAGCAAAACCCUGCUUAUUACUUUGAUAAAUAUACAGACUAGUAAACCAGAAGGCUAUGACAUAAGAUCCAGGAGAAGAUGUGAAGUAGCAACAGCAAGUCGGCAACAACUACAAAAAUAAAGAGGACUAUUACUGAACAAGG